AUUGAACGCUGGCGGCAGGCCUAACACAUGCAAGUCGAGCGAGCGGCGGACGGGUGAGUAAUGUCUGGGAAACUGCCUGAUGGAGGGGGGUAACUCCUGGAAAAGGUAGCUAAUACCGCAUACCCUAAGAUGUGCCCCCAUGGGAUUAGCUAGUAGGUGGGGUAACGGCUCACCAAGGCGACGAUCCCUAGCUGGUCUGAGAGGAUGACCAGCCACACUGGAACUGAGACACGGUCCAGACUCCUACGUGAGGCAGCAGUGGGGAAUAUUGCACAAUGGGCGCAAGCCUGAUGCAGCCAUGCCGCGUGUGUGAAGAAGGCCUUCGGGUUGUAAAGCACUUUCAGCGGGGAGGCGUUACCCGCAGAAGAAGCACCGGCUAACUCCGUGCCAGCAGCCGCGGUAAUUC
rnacentral:rRNA from 1 species